rnacentral:lncRNA from 1 species
AUUACUGAGCUGAGCUGGAAUCACUAUACCAUUACUGAGCUGAGCUGGAAUCACUAUACUAUUACUGAGCUGAGCUGGAAUCAUUAUACCAUUACUGAGCUGAGCUAGAAUCGACUGCUCGAAGCUGCUCACAUGCACUUCAGGCCAGCCUUUCUCAAGGCUGCUUCUGGAGAAGUCGCGGUGCUCCGGGCUUUCCGCCGCCACGGCACCACCCCUUUUAGGGAUGUGCUGCAGCAAUUAUGAGAAGUGAGAGGGAGUCGUGCCCUUGCUAUUAUUCUAGCAACUCUGUUAGGGGAAAAUCUGUGGAUUUAUUUCAGCCACAUUUUGUCUCUUCCAGCAAACAUUCUGGUAGUUUCCAAUACACCAAAAUGAGCAUAAGGGGAUUUUUUCUUCAGUGUUGUUACUUUUGAAUGACCUUGUGGAACAAUGACCAGAUGAUGAAGUGACCAUAUAAAAUACUCUUUUAUGAAAACACCAUGUCAUACACUGCUGGGACAAAUUGUCCAGAGCAGGAUGCUGGGAACAACUUUGAUGCUUUAGAGGAACCUAUAAAACAAAACUCUGGAGUUAUGCCAGGAGAGAGAGUAUGGAAUGGGGAAGGAUUGGAAGAAGAAUUGUUUCUUCUGCCAUGGGAAAAAAAUCAGCAUCUUGGCCUGCUUCACAAGAGUGUAACAGCCCCUUCCUGACUUGUGUGGUGAGGAAACCUGGGUCACAAAAGCUGUGCCCUUCUAUUUAUCAGGGCAGCAGCAAAGCAGCCCAGGGCUUCUGCCUGCCCUUGGGAAGGUGGUGGUGUACAGCAGCAGCAGCAGCCUGGAAGUUCCCUGGGAGCAGAGCAAGGAUGUGCAGCAGGGGAGGAGAGGAGCAGCCUGCAGCAUGGACUGGUGACAGUAGGACAGGAGGUCUGGCUGCAUCUGGGUGCAGAAGCUUCUGGCAGAGGUCUGGGGGGGACUGGUCCUGCUGUCAGGCAUCUGUCUCCCUCCUGGAACACAAGACUCGUGCUGAGGCCAGCCCAUGGUGGUAUUUUGCUGUAGUUUUGAGGCCGUGGCACAGAGGGAGAUGGCAGCAUGCUGUGCUGUGCUCAGGGAACAGCCUGGCUGAGCCCCUGUCCCAGCACACACUGCUCGUCCUCUGGCCUGGCCCUGCUGAUCACAGCCUGCCCUCAGCCCUCUGCAGACACAUCACAGCCCAUCUCAUUUUAUCCAAAUGCCAUUUCCCCCCUCCCCAGCCCUGA